rnacentral:rRNA from 1 species
GACGAACGCUGGCGGCGUGCUUAACACAUGCAAGUCGAACGGAAAGGCCCUGCUUUUGUGGGGUGCUCGAGUGGCGAACGGGUGAGUAACACGUGAGUAACCUGCCCUUGACUUUGGGAUAACUUCAGGAAACUGGGGCUAAUACCGGAUAGGAGCUCCUGCUGCAUGGUGGGGGUUGGAAAGUUUCGGCGGUUGGGGAUGGACUCGCGGCUUAUCAGCUUGUUGGUGGGGUAGUGGCUUACCAAGGCUUUGACGGGUAGCCGGCCUGGGAGGGUGACCGGCCAACUGGGGACUGAGAUACGGACCAGACUCCUACGGGAGGCAGCAGUGGGGAAUAUUGCCCAAUGGGCGGAAGCCUGAUGCAGCAACGCCGCGUGCGGGAUGACGGCCUUCGGGUUGUAAACAGCUUUCGCCUGUGACGAAGCGGGAGUGACGGUAAUGGGUAAAGAAGCACCGGCUAACUACGUG